AAUAUAAAGAAUGAAACUUAAGUUAAAAGAAAAAAACUAUAUCCCUCUUUCUUUUGAAUCAAAUACAAGAAAUGUGUGCAAGCAAAAUGCAUGCCACUAAUUAGAGCCAAAAUUGAUACCAACUAAAGUUAUGAAAAGGGCUAUUAAAAAAAAAAAAAAAUAAUAAUAUUAAGAGUUAAUAAGAAAGUAAGAUAAAUGCAACGUAACUCAAAUACCAAUAUAAUACCUAUAACAAAAAAAAAAAAAAUAACCAAUGCUAAUUACCAGGAUAUCUCUGCAACAUGUUUGGAUUUGAUCUUGGAAGAAUCUUAUUCAAGAAAUCGUUGUAAGAAAGCAUAAAGCCUUGUGUCUUAUCUUCAAUCAGUGAUAGGAAGAACUUAUUUUCCAAAGGAUCGCCUUGUCUGAUUGUAUAAAGCUUCAUAAAUGGCGGUUUUCUUUGUUCACGAAUAUUAUUGAUUAAAAUAGCAACUUUGACUCCAAGCUUUUCACCAGUUGAUCCAAUAACAGUUUCAGCAUAAUCUGGAUGUAGCUGAUCAAGAGUUGCAACGCCAAACACCUGUUGAAUAAAGGUUGUUGGAAUCGCUCUUCCAAGCCAUAAAUACAUGGAUUCACCAUCUUCUAAGAGAUAUGCAUCUGCCUGUGUCAUUUUUUCUGCUGUUAAAUUUAAGGCAGGAGGAAGCACUAAUGAUUGAUCAGUUUCUUGUUGUUGAAGAUUCCAUGAAGAAAGACAAAACAUUCUUGGAUAAAAUAGUAUCAUUUGAGAUUCUAAUCUCAAACUAGAUAAGCGUAUCCAAUGAUAAAUUCUAGUAUCUGAUUGAGAAACUUCCUUAUAAUCUCUAAAAGCUGGACAUUUGAGUACACCAAGAAUAUAGAGUGGAAGUUGCUUUGCAGCUUCAAUUAUUUGAUUGGAUUGAGGUAAAAUGAUUUGGGAACAUAUAGUCUGAAGAUAAUUUCGUCCAUCUAAUAACUUGCUUUUAAGGCUUAGUUCCAUUGCAUUUUGGCAAAUUAUUGAAACUGUUGCUUGAACAUCCAUGCUUGAUACUAAAUCAACAUAAUUUUGAGUUACUGGUAAAGCCAUUGUGUGAACUCUAAUACGUCUUUCACCAUCACUAUUUGUAUGUAAAAGAGCUGCUUGAAUAUAAACAAAUGGAUCAGGUGCUACUGUUACAUUUUCAUCCAUAUCUAUAACAAUACUAAAAGCUUGGUCUCUAUGACAAUUUGGAGCAAGAAGAAGAUCAACCCCACUAAAGUAGAAAUUACCAUACCAAUUUGAUAUCUUCCAACCACGACUAACUCUGAAUCUAAUACAAGCCUCCCAAGCUGAGUUUCUAGUUAAAGUUGAAAAUAUAUCUUCUCUAAGUUUUUGUCCGUGAAGAUACGAAUUAAAUCCAAAAAUAUAUGUAAGAUCACCACUCGUUUUUUUGACAAUUGGAGAAAUUGUAGGUAAAUCUACAUACGGUUGAGAAGUACACAUAAACAAAUCAACACUAAUAUAUGCUCUAACAAGUGCAUGAACAAAAUUACUAUAUCCAUCAUUUUCUGGUUUUAAUAAUUCAACUUCUCUAUCAAUAUCUUUGGAUUCUUUUCCAGAAUUUCUCAUCUGCUCACGAUUAAGUUUUAUUGUUUGAUCUCCAACUGUUGGUGCUCCUGAUGAAAAUAAAAGAACUUUUCCACCAAUAUGUCUAAUUGCCAUAUAAGCAGCUUUAAUUGCUGAUCCCAUACAAUUUUCCGAAACUCUAUUAUUUCUCCAUAAAUUUGGUAAGUUAUCUAACAAAUUCGUAAUUUGCUGCAAUAACAAUAACAAUAAUAAUUAAAUAUAUGAUAAAGUCAAUCAAUUAUUUAACUUACCUCAGUAGAAUCUGCUAUAUUAACCAAAACACCUUCAGAAAGUGGUAGGAAUAAAUCAUUCAAAUCAGAUACAACAAACAUAUGUGGUUGUGAAAGAUUACUAUUUAAAUCAUAAAAAUGAAUGGAUGAAUCAAAUGUAAUAAUACCAAUCAUAGCUCUACCUCCACCUGGAAUAUUAUCAGAUAAUAUAGCAUUUUUUACUGCUAAACAAACUGUCUCAACAAGUCCUGAAGAUACUGAUGGCAUUGAAACAUCCAAAACUAUAAAAUAUACUGGAGGUUGUGGAGGUCUUACCAUAUAUUCUCCAGAUGCAAUAAAUUCAGUACUACCAACAGAUAGUUCAGGACGUUCAAAUCGAUCAGUUCUGCGUCCCUGAUCAUCCAAUCCGCAAUAAUAAAAUGAAAGGGUUUCAUUAGAAUAGCCGCACAUAUUGCAUAUCCAACGACGACCACCAGCUUCCCAUCUAACAAAUGGAUUAAUAUAAGUUCUACAAGGCUUACAUCUAACUAAUACACCACUUGACCCAAAAGAAACUGUUGGUACUUCAGGAUAUCCAGGAGGCGGACUUGCUAAAGGUUGAAAAACAAGUCCAACAGGAAUAUGGGCUUUCUGUUUAAGACUUGCUGAACUUGGGACUUUUGAGACGGAUGGUCUUACAAAAUAUGAUGGAGCAUUAAGUUGUUGUAUUUCACUCAUUGAUAGUCCUCCUAUUGUUGUAUUAUUUCCAAUAUCUUUUGAGAUAGGAUUCGAAUUAUAAAAACCAGUUUGAGUUUGGUUUUGACCUUGAACUUGUUGUCCCAUUCCUGUUGGAAUCACCAUACCUGGUCUAACUCUAUUCUGACCUUGCAUAGUAUUAUCAUUACUUGAACCAUAAUAUCCUCCACUUUGUGAAUAACCUUGAUUUUGUCCUAUAGUUUGGCUUUGAGCCUGAUAUUGACCCUGCAUUCCAAAUGGACUAGUUUUUGGUGCUGCCUCUGCCACUCCUUGAAAAGGAGAUGACAUUACUGUACCUGGGCGUUGUUGGGGAAUCUGAGUCUGUUGUGAGUAUUGCAUUGCCCCCCCGCCAACUGAAUUUCCAAAUGGAUGUCCCGACAUUAAAAUAAAGAGUAUACACCAAUUAGUUUGAGAUUUCCAGUCAAUAAGUGAAUUAGUGGUAGAUAUAAAUUAC
rnacentral:antisense_RNA from 1 species